rnacentral:lncRNA from 1 species
ACGAUUUUGAUGACGAUUUUGAUGAGUUUGAUGAGGAAUUUGAUGAUGAUUUUGAUGAUGAAGAUGAUGAGGAGUUUGGUCACGGUCAUGGUCAUGGUUAUCAGGGUCAUCAUCAUUUGCCUAACAAGGCGAUGCCUAUGAUGAAUAAUGGCCAUUUGCCUAACAAGGCGAUGCCUAUGAUGAAUAAUGGCCAUUUGCCUAACAAGAUGAUGCCAAUGAUGAAUAAUGGCCAUGGAUCACAUGGUCCUCAUAAUAUGUUUAAUGGGCCUAUGCUUCAUGAUAAAAAGGAUGGUGGUAAUGGGGGAGGAGGAGGAGGAGGAGGAGGAGGGAAGGUCAAGAAAGGUGGUGGGGACUUCGAGAUACCUUUGGUAAUGAAGGGCAAAGGAGGCAAUAAUAAUGAUAGUAAAAAUGGUAAAGGAGAAAAGAAAGGUGGAGGUGGUGAUGGAAAGAAUGGUCACAGCAAAGGAGGGAGUAAAAAACAAGAUGGUAAAGAGAAGAAGAAUAGUAGCAAAGGUGGUAUUGGUGCAUUCUUAAGUUUCGGUAGAAAGAGUAAAAAUGGAAGAGAAGACAGUACUGAUAAGAGUAUCAAUCAUCACAACUCAGCUGGAAACAAUAACAGCAAGGGGGCCAAGAAAGGUGGAGGCAAAAAUAAUGACGGGGUCCAUGAUUUUAACAAAACGAAACAAGGGUACCAUGAACUCGAUGUUAAUGGUGGGAGUGGUGCCAAAAACAUGGCGAAGAUGGGGCAAAUGGGGCAGAUGGGGCAGAUGGCGCAAAUGGGCCAAAUGGGUCAGAUGGGGCAAAUGGGCCAUAUGCGCCCGAUGGGUAGUUAUGGAGGGAUGGGUAAUUUUCCUGCAGUUCAAGGACUGCCUGCAGCAGCAGCAGCAGCAGC